rnacentral:rRNA from 1 species
UACAGAGGUGGCAAGCGUUGUUCGGAAUUACUGGGCGUAAAGGGCGCGUAGGCGGCCAUCUAAGUCAGACGUGAAAUCCCCCGGCUUAACCUGGGAACUGCGUCUGAUACUGGAAGGCUCGAGUUUGGGAGAGGGAUGUGGAAUUCCAGGUGUAGCGGUGAAAUGCGUAGAUAUCUGGAGGAACACCGGUGGCGAAGGCGGCAUCCUGGACCAACACUGACGCUCAUGCACGAAAGCGUGGGGAGCAAACAGG